rnacentral:rRNA from 1 species
AUGGCGGACGAGGGCCCAGCCCCAGCCCCCGCGGCGGCCGCCGCCGUCCCCGUCGGCGGGGCAUCUGCCACCAUACUCGACACUCUCGGAGAGGAUAUCACCCGCAUCGUCGGCCCGGUCUCCGCCUGCAUGCUCAUCGUCGUCCUCCUCGUCUCCCUGCUCUCCUCCCCCUCGUCCCCAUCCCCGCUCGUCGCCCCCAUCGCCGCCGCCGGAGCCGGCGGCGCCGGCGGGGGCGGGGGCGGGGGCGACGACCUCGCCAGCGCCCUCGUCACCGCCGUCGUCUUCGUCGUCUUCGUCACGGCCGCCACCUUCCUCAUGGCGCUGCUCUUCUACUUCCGCUGCACCCCCUGCCUCCGCGCCUACCUCGGCCUCUCCGCGAUCUGGAUCCUCCUCCUCCUCGGCGGCCAGAUGUGCCUCCUCCUCCUCUCCCGCCUCCGCCUCCCGCUCGACGUCGUCUCCUGCGCGCUGCUCCUCCCCAACGCGGCCGCGGCGCUCGCCGUCGCCGCGAUCUCGCCGGCCUCCGUCCCCAUCGCGCUCCACCAGGCCGCGCUCCUCGCCAUCGCCGUCCUCACCGCCUUCUGGUUCACGCUGCUCCCCGAGUGGACCACCUGGGCGCUGCUCGUGGCCAUGGCCGUCUACGACCUCGGCGCCGUCCUCAUCCCCGGUGGCCCUUUAAGAGUUCUUCUUGAGCUGGCCAUUGAGAGGAACGAGGAGAUACCGGCGCUGGUCUACGAGGCAAGGCCGGUGGAUCCCAGGCACGGCCAGAAUUGGCGGCUUUGGAGGGAAAGGGCGCGGCAACCCGGCGGGGAUUUGGACCCCAGCUCCACAGUUGAGGUGAUUGGUGAGGUGCUGGGGAGAAAUCCUCUUCUCAAUUCAGCUGGCAAUUCACCCAAUUCGACGACCCAAGCCGGGGAGCAGACGAACUUGACUGGUGCUGUUAGUAAUUCAAGGCUCAGGGAGUCACCGGUGCCAGAUUUGAGCUCUGGUUCUGCCAAUGCACAAGCCAGAGAGGCGCUUGCAUUGCCGGAGACUAGACUGCAUAUUGCUGAACUGAGGGUACCGUUGAUCCAGCCACAGCCAGAUAGAACCAGUGACGAUGACGACGACGACGACGAUGAAGAUGGCAUUGGGUUGGGCUCAUCAGGGGCAAUCAAGCUUGGGCUGGGGGACUUCAUAUUCUACAGCGUGCUCGUCGGGAGGGCGGCUAUGUAUGACUACAUGACAGUCUACGCGUGCUACCUUGCCAUAAUUGCGGGGCUCGGCAUCACCCUGCUACUGCUGGCAUUCUACCGCAAGGCGUUGCCCGCGCUACCGGUGUCCAUCACCCUCGGCGUUCUGUUUUACGUUCUCACAAGAACAUUGCUCGAGUCAUUUGUUAUGCAGUGCUCCACAAACUUUCUGAUGUUUUAG